UACGGGGGGAGCAAGCGUUGUUCGGAUUUACUGGGCGUAAAGGGCGCGUAGGCGGCGUGACAAGUCACUUGUGAAAUCUCCGGGCUUAACUCGGAACGGUCAAGUGAUACUGUCGUGCUAGAGUACAGAAGGGGCAACUGGAAUUCUCGGUGUAGCGGUGAAAUGCGCAGAUAUCAGGAGGAACACCGAUGGCGAAGGCAGGUCUCUGGGCAUUAACUGACGCUGAGGAGCGAAAGCAUGGGGAGCGAACAGG
rnacentral:rRNA from 1 species